GACGAACGCUGGCGGCGUGCUUAACACAUGCAAGUCGAACGGAAAGGCCCUGCUUGCAGGGUACUCGAGUGGCGAACGGGUGAGUAACACGUGGGUGAUCUGCCCUGCACUUCGGGAUAAGCCUGGGAAACUGGGUCUAAUACCGGAUAGGAGCCAUUUUUAGUGUGAUGGUUGGAAAGUUUUUUCGGUGUAGGAUGAGCUCGCGGCCUAUCAGCUUGUUGGUGGGGUAAUGGCCUACCAAGGCGGCGACGGGUAGCCGGCCUGAGAGGGUGGACGGCCACAUUGGGACUGAGAUACGGCCCAGACUCCUACGGGAGGCAGCAGUGGGGAAUAUUGCACAAUGGGCGCAAGCCUGAUGCAGCGACGCCGCGUGGGGGAUGACGGCCUUCGAGUUGUAAACUCCUUUCGCUAGGGACGAAGCUUUUUGUGACGGUACCUAGAUAAGAAGCACCGGCUAACUACGUG
rnacentral:rRNA from 1 species